rnacentral:rRNA from 1 species
UACGUAGGGUGCAAGCGUUGUCCGGAAUUAUUGGGCGUAAAGAGCCCGUAGGCGGUUUGUCGCGUCUGCUGUGAAAACCCGAGGCUCAACCUCGGGCCUGCAGUGGGUACGGGCAGACUAGAGUGCGGUAGGGGAGAUUGGAAUUCCUGGUGUAGCGGUGAAAUGCGCAGAUAUCAGGAGGAACACCGGUGGCGAAGGCGGGUCUCUGGGCAGUAACUGACGCUGAGGAGCGAAAGCGUGGGGAGCGAACAGG